CGUUUCACCAUGUUGGCCAGGCUGCUCUUGAACUCCUGAAGUCAGGUGAUCCACCUGCCUCAGCCUCCCAAAGCGUUGGGAUUACGAGAAGCUAAAUUUUGGGAGCAGUGGUGACUACAUGUCAUGCCACAUGGACAGAGAAGGAGGAAAAUCUCAUCUCCAGGAAAAGAAAAAUGCAGAUUCACAAAGAGAAGCCAGGAUGAGACUCAGGUGGAGCCGAACCAUGAGUUCCCAUUGCUCCUGAAAGCCAGCUCAGUUCUUACCCUCAGAUUCUGGGAGACACCCCCAAAUCCUUACAAGAAUUCCCCUUUGCAGUUUGAAGAUGGAUUUCUGGAACCUGUAACUAAAAUAGUCCCAACAACUGACCCCACCCAUAAACCAAGCACAGGUGCAGGCCAGAGGCACAGCUGAGUGCCUCCUCCAAGUGGCAUCUCCAGUGACCUUACACUGGUUCCUGAGAUGGCCCCAAGUGAAGUACAGCAAAGGAAACCUCAGGACAAGACAUGUCCCGAUCCAUCACUGGAGCCUGAGGUCCUCUUUCUGGUUAAACACGUGAGGCAGGUGCUACUCUUCUCCUUCCUGUAUGGAUGAGAAGGGCUCAAAGGGUUAAGUAACAUGAUUGAGGUAACACCAAGCAAAGAAGAACGUAGCUCCUGACUGGCUGCCACAUAUGUGUCUGAGCAGCGAGUUCCAGGGACCUUCUCAGUGAUGCCGAUGGCCUCUCCAGGCAAAUAGCGCAGGCCUGGCCGGUAUCCAGAAGGAACUCCAGGCUGCCUCUCCUUCCCGGACGCACACCCUCCCCUGGGGAAAGACCCCAGACAGAGCCCGCGGGGCCUACAAAUAGCAGAGUCCCUGGCUCUGAGCACAGGCAACGGAGAGGGGACGGGAAACGGGACUCGGGCGCCAAGUCACUCCCCUGCCUCGCCCUGGCGGAAGGGCAGGCGUCACACCUCUAGGAGGAAGGCAGAUGUGAGAGGGCUGAGCCCUUCCGGGGGCUCAGAGGAUCAAAGGCACUGACAUCCUAAGAGAAUUGGAAACCAGAAACAGGGCCGGGCGCGGUAGCGCACGCCUGUAAUCCCAGCACUUUGGGAGGCCGAGGCGGGCGGAUCACGACAGAGCGAGACUCCGUAUCAAAAAAAAAAAAAAGAAAAAACAAAAUAGAAACCGGAAACAGGAUGAGCUGGGUCUGCAGAAGCGGCGUGUGGGACCCAUUCCCCGCAAGGGCUUUGUGGAUAGGAACCCAGCACAGACUUCCCUCUUAUCAACAGGACCGAGGCAUGAGAACACGAGGGUCAGCCUGGGCUCCCUGACCGCAGUCUCCUCAGAAGGGAGUCUGGACAGCGAGUCUUGCCUCUGCUGCUCCUCUGGGGCCUCCUGAUGCCUGGCAGGGAGAGGAGCCACCGUGUGAGGGUUUCUGAAAUUAAACUGUUCUCAGAGUCGCAGCUGUCAGGAAGGGACAGCAAGAGCCAGCUGACAGGAGCCUGAAUCUUUCCAACGCAAUCCAUCUAGGAUGGGAAAAGAAAGACCAAUUUCCAGCCUUGCCAGACUCCUAGGGAUGGGCUGAGCAUGCAGACUCUGUCACUCACCAGCCGCUGACCUUGGCCAAGCACCUCAUUGUCUCUGAGUCUUGGUUUCCUUAUUCAUAAAACGAUAAAAGUCCUGAUCUCACAAGGCUGAUGUGGGAGCCAGAAAUAGCGAUGCUGUGUGACAGGCCCGCAACCCUUCCAGUUCCUCUCCCUCACCAGCAAGCCAGAGGCCUGUUUUAUUCAGGGUUUCUGGCAGCCACAUGCUUCAGGAGAAGCAGGACUCCCUGGGAGCCUAGCACAGUGUCUUGAUUGGUCUAAGCCAGUCACGGUGACCCAGUGAUUAGUUUAUGAACGGGCGUGUAACUUCAUUCUGACUAACAAGACACGAGAGGAAGUGUCUGGAUGAAUUUGGGGAAAGUUUCCCUUACUCUUAAAAAAAGAGCUAUAAAGAAGGGGCUUUCUCUCUUUCUGACCUUUGGGUGUGGUUGGGUGAGAACAUGAUACUUAGAACUGCUGCAGCCAUAUUGUGACAUAAAGGGAUAAUACCCAACAUAAAAGCCAAGAGGCUAACGAUGGCAGAGUGUCGAGAUGAAAAGAAGCCAAGUCCUUGGUGACAGCCUUGAGCGGUUGAAUUAAUUUCCCUUGGGAUGUCCCCAACUUGAGACAUCUCAUUAAGUGAGAGAAUGCUGUCCCAAGGUCAGAGACACGGGACAGUGGGGGUCAGGGGCAAAGGCUCUAGAGCUUGACUGCCCAAUCCACCACCACUACUACUGAGGACUUUUGGCUUGUUUAUUUUCUCUCUCUUCUCAGUUUCCUCAUCUGUGAAAUGGGGAUGGUGAUAAUAACCGUAUCUGGUUUAUGAGAUCAUUGUGAGGAUUUAAGGGGUUAAUGUGUAGAAAGUAUUCAAAUCGCGUCUGGCACAUGGUAAGUGUCAUGUAAGUGUCAGCUAUGACUAUUGCAAGCCAUUUUGACUUUUUCUGUUAUUUAUAUCUCAAAGUAUCCUCUUAAAG
rnacentral:lncRNA from 10 species